AAAGUACUCCCUCCGUCUCAUAUUAAGUGACGAUAUGUAUCUAGACGUUUUUUGGAUAUAGAUACAUCCAUAUUUUGACAAAUUUGAGUCACUUAAUAUGGGACGGAGGGAGUAGAAA
rfam:Brachypodium distachyon strain Bd21 chromosome 1, whole genome shotgun sequence.